rnacentral:lncRNA from 1 species
AUUCCCAACUACCAUUGUGGAAUGACAAAUUAAUUUUAUAUCAUUUCUAGUAUAUUUAAGGCUUGUUAAGCCAUAACACGUUUAUAGUUUACUAAACCACGACACGUUCUAUGACCACGAUCAUGCCAACUAUAAUGGUCCUAUUUGUAAACUAUAAACACGGUCAUACAUCGUCAAAGCUGACUCCUACAAUCAUAUUGUAUCAUCACUCUCGUUAGAGGGUACACCAUCAUGUACAAGGAGCGGUCUUUUUACGUCUUUUCAGACUAGAUGGGGGAGAAAAAGAACCCUU